rnacentral:rRNA from 1 species
AUUUUUCCGCAAUGGACGAAAUUUGACGGAGCAACGCCGCGUGAGUGAUGAAGGUUUUCGGAUCGUAAAGCUCUGUUGUUAGGGAAGAACAAGUGCCGUUCAAAUAGGGCGGCACCUUGACGGUACCUAACCAGAAAGCCACGGCUAACUACGUGCCAGCAGCCGCGGUAAUACGUAGGUGGCAAGCGUUGUCCGGAAUUAUUGGGCGUAAAGGGCUCGCAGGCGGUUUCUUAAGUCUGAUGUGAAAGCCCCCGGCUCAACCGGGGAGGGUCAUUGGAAACUGGGGAACUUGAGUGCAGAAGAGGAGAGUGGAAUUCCACGUGUAGCGGUGAAAUGCGUAGAGAUGUGGAGGAACACCAGUGGCGAAGGCGACUCUCUGGUCUGUAACUGACGCUGAGGAGCGAAAGCGUGGGGAGCGAACAGGAUUAGAUACCCUGGUAGUCCACGCCGUAAACGAUGAGUGCUAAGUGUUAGGGGGUUUCCGCCCCUUAGUGCUGCAGCUAACGCAUUAAGCACUCCGCCUGGGGAGUACGGUCGCAAGACUGAAACUCAAAGGAAUUGACGGGGGCCCGCACAAGCGGUGGAGCAUGUGGUUUAAUUCGAAGCAACGCGAAGAACCUUACCAGGUCUUGACAUCCUCUGACAAUCCUAGAGAUAGGACGUCCCCUUCGGGGGCAGAGUGACAGGUGGUGCAUGGUUGUCGUCAGCUCGUGUCGUGAGAUGUUGGGUUAAGUCCCGCAACGAGCGCAACCCUUGAUCUUAGUUGCCAGCAUUCAGUUGGGCACUCUAAGGUGACUGCCGGUGACAAACCGGAGGAAGGUGGGGAUGACGUCAAAUCAUCAUGCCCCUUAUGACCUGGGCUACACACGUGCUACAAUGGACAGAACAAAGGGCAGCGAAACCGCGAGGUUAAGCCAAUCCCACAAAUCUGUUCUCAGUUCGGAUCGCAGUCUGCAACUCGACUGCGUGAAGCUGGAAUCGCUAGUAAUCGCGGAUCAGCAUGCCGCGGUGAAUACGUUCCCGGGCCUUGUACACACCGCCCGUCACACCACGAGAGUUUGUAACACCCGAAGUCGGUGAGGUAACCUUUAUGGAGCCAGCCGCCGAAGGUGACAGAGGG